GACGAACGCUGGCGGCGUGCCUAAUACAUGCAAGUCGAGCGAAGUUUUUCUGGUGCUUGCACUAGAAAAACUUAGCGGCGAACGGGUGAGUAACACGUAAAGAACCUGCCUCAUAGACUGGGACCACUAUUGGAAACGAUAGCUAAUACCGGAUAACAGUAUUUCUCGCAUGAGAGAUAUUUAAAAGUUGGUUAUGCUAACACUAUGAGAUGGCUUUGCGGUGCAUUAGCUAGUUGGUGGGGUAAAGGCCCACCAGGGCGACGAUGCAUAGCCGACCUGAGAGGGUGAUCGGCCACACUGGGACUGAGACACGGCCCAGACUCCUACGGGAGGCAGCAGUAGGGAAUCUUCCGCAAUGGGCGAAAGCCUGACGGAGCAACGCCGCGUGAGUGAAGAAGGAUUUCGGUUCGUAAAGCUCUGUUGUUAGGGAAGAAUGGAUAUGUAGUAACUAUACAUGUAAGAGACGGUACCUAACCAGAAAGCCACGGCUAACUACGUG
rnacentral:rRNA from 1 species